AGAGUUUGAUCAUGGCUCAGAUUGAACGCUGGCGGAAAUGCUUUACACAUGCAAGUCGAACGGCAGCACGGGGCAACCUGGUGGCGAGUGGCGAACGGGUGAGUAAUACAUCGGAACGUGCCCAAUCGUGGGGGAUAACGUAGCGAAAGUUACGCUAAUACCGCAUACGAUCUACGGAUGAAAGCGGGGGAUCGCAAGACCUCGCGCGAAUGGAGCGGCCGAUGUCAGAUUAGGUAGUUGGUGGGGUAAAGGCUCACCAAGCCAACGAUCUGUAGCUGGUCUGAGAGGACGACCAGCCACACUGGAACUGAGACACGGUCCAGACUCCUACGGGAGGCAGCAGUGGGGAAUUUUGGACAAUGGGCGCAAGCCUGAUCCAGCCAUUCCGCGUGCAGGAUGAAGGCCUUCGGGUUGUAAACUGCUUUGUACGGAACGAAACGGCGAGCUCUAAUACAGUUUGCUAAUGACGGUACCGUAAGAAUAAGCACCGGCUAACUACGUG
rnacentral:rRNA from 1 species